rnacentral:rRNA from 1 species
GGGCACUCUAAGGAAACUGCCGGUGCUAAGCCGGAGGAAGGUGGGGAUGACGUCAAGUCCUCAUGGCCCUUACGCCCUGGGCUACACACGUGCUACAAUGGCGGUGACAGUGGGCAGCGAACUCGCGAGAGGGAGCUAAUCUCCAAAAGCCGUCUCAGUUCGGAUUGUUCUCUGCAACUCGAGAGCAUGAAGGCGGAAUCGCUAGUAAUCGCGGAUCAGCAUGCCGCGGUGAAUACGUUCCCAGGCCUUGUACACACCGCCCGUCA